rnacentral:lncRNA from 1 species
UUCGUGCUGCCCUUCACGCCUCGCCUCGCUUCUUGCUUCUCGCUUAAAGCGAGCGUCUUUUUUAAUCACGGGAUACAACAGAGCAGUAAGUGUAGUUGAAGAAUCAACUAUUAAUCUUACGUUUAGCCUUCAAUAUUAAACUUCCAAACAACAUAGAAUAUCACAAUAUUACUACCAAUUGCCUUCCAGAACUCUUUAUAAGUCUGAUCAAACAGUAUAUCUAAAUAUUUGUAGAAGUUGCAAGUGAAAGGUCCGAGUGAGCUGAAGACACAAAAGUAUAUAGCAACAUAUUGUUUUUAUAGUUUGUACAAAUGAAGAUACCA